rnacentral:rRNA from 1 species
AACGAACGCUGGCGGCAUGCCUAACACAUGCAAGUCGAACGAGACCUUCGGGUCUAGUGGCGCACGGGUGCGUAACGCGUGGGAAUCUGCCCUUGGGUUCGGAAUAACAGUUAGAAAUGACUGCUAAUACCGGAUAAUGUCUUCGGACCAAAGAUUUAUCGCCCAGGGAUGAGCCCGCGUAGGAUUAGCUAGUUGGUGAGGUAAAGGCUCACCAAGGCGACGAUCCUUAGCUGGUCUGAGAGGAUGAUCAGCCACACUGGGACUGAGACACGGCCCAGACUCCUACGGAGGCAGCAGUGGGGAAUAUUGGACAAUGGGCGAAAGCCUGAUCCAGCAAUGCCGCGUGAGUGAUGAAGGCCUUAGGGUUGUAAAGCUCUUUACCCGGGAUGAUAAUGACAGUACCGGGAGAAUAAGCCCCGGCUAACUCCGUGCCAGCAGCCGCGGUAAU